rnacentral:lncRNA from 1 species
GUUGUGGCAUCGUGGGUCAUACCAACGCCUAAGUGGAAACUAGACUGUCCUAAAUUAGAAUAGUCAUGAUGUCUAGGUUGUAAAUGUAUCUCGACCCAACUGGACCUAAUCAGGCUGCUUGUAUUUAUUCACUUCUAUGCAGAAGUAUUCCUUCUCGUGUCAAAAAUAAAUAAAUCAAUCAAUAACUAAAUAAAUCUAUCCAACAACUUUACACACAC